CAGUGACAGAGGGAGGGGGUGACACAGUGAGGGAGGUGGUGACUAGUGACAGAGUGAGGGAGGUGGUGACUGUCACUAGUCACUAGUCACCACCUCCCUCACUCUGUCCCUAGUCACCCCUCCCUCUGU